rnacentral:rRNA from 1 species
GACCUACGGGGGGCAGCAGUGGGGAAUAUUGCACAAUGGGGGAAACCCUGAUGCAGCGACGCCGCGUGAAGGAAGAAGUAUUUCGGUAUGUAAACUUCUAUCAGCAGGGAAGAAAAUGACGGUACCUGACUAAGAAGCCCCGGCUAACUACGUGCCAGCAGCCGCGGUAAUACGUAGGGGGCAAGCGUUAUCCGGAUUUACUGGGUGUAAAGGGAGCGUAGGCGGCGAUGCAAGUCAGAAGCGAAAGCCCGGGGCUCAACUCCGGAACUGCAUUUGAAACUGUGUUGCUAGAUUGCGGGUGAGGA